rnacentral:lncRNA from 1 species
GAUGAGAGACGACAACGAGAAUGGCUCGAGUACACGCGCGGGGAAAAUUAAUCUCUCAGCUUAGCUGGAUCAUCAUCUCCCGCCGGUGUACACGUUUCAUGGUGCCGAUUGUGGAAGGGUAGUGCAAAGCGCUGCGUUCCAAUUUCGUGCUCUUAUUGCUGUUAAUAGACAUAAAUAAACAGUUAUUUAGACACGUUGGACAACGUGCCACCGUCGAACCCGCAGAGCACUCUUCAUUCUGGCAAGUCAUUAACGGGGAAGACCGUAAUUACUGAUGGCAAAAGGCCACUCUGCCGCAAAAUUACUAGCUUGUCCAAAUCUUGGCUAUCCGAUUGCAGCGUUUACAUUAUCGCGACAUAUAAUUGAUUUAAUUACGAACAACCAUGGAUAUCAAUAGUCACCGAUACGCAAACUGUAAUUUUGCUCUCGCGAGUCUUGGCAAGUAAAAAAAAAAGAAAAAAGAACUGCGACAUUUAAAAUUAAGCAAUCUUUUCCUGUUUUUAAUUUAUCUUUUUCUUUUUCCUGAUUAUCUACAUCGUACAUACUUGUCUGCAUUAAAAUUUUACCAUUGUCAUUCUUGCUUUAAAUUAGAAUUUCUGACAAAAGAUAAUUAAAAACCUAUCAUUGUCUUUCUUGCUGUUUAAAUUGAAUUUCUGACAUAAGGCAAUUUUUAAUUAAUAUAAUAUCACGAUUAUUCCUUUACAUUUUGAAAAUAGAAAUCGCGUUUACAUAUUUUUUUAUUUUUAUAUCGAACGCUGAUACAAGUGAUAAGUUGCAAAUUAAUUUGAUAACUCCAGCACGAAAUGGUACUGCCAAUAAUCUGUACGGUCGAAUAAAAUGCGACGAAUAAUGACAUUGAAUUUUGUCUUAUCAUAUUUUUGGUUUCGAAGCGUACAUCACGAUUCUUUUUAUUCACGAAAGCAAUGAUUUUCGCACGUGGCCCCAUAUUUUGUGAAAAGAUAUGAAUUAUAAUGUGCGAUAUAUGGUUUAUUUUCUGCAAUAAUGAUAUGAUUUGAAAAUAGAAAUUUUCUAGUUUGAAUCUUUUCAGUCAUUCAAAUUUCGCAAUAUUAAUUUUUUUAAUACAAUUUUGAUAUAACGAUUUGGUGCAGAGAUUUGGUCUAUUGAUUAUAGAUAGAAAUAAAAGUACCGAUAGCUCUACACUCAUUGUAUGAAUUUUCAGCGAUCUCUUUUUCGCAGCGACUAAAAAGUGACAAUUUUUGAAUUAUAUCAUUUGUGUUGUAGCAAAUAAAUGUCACAUUUGAACGAACACGUGCGAGACUGUCGUAAGUUACUAAUACAAUCAUUCAAUAUAUCUGUAAACUUGAUUUCUCAGUAUUAUACAAUGCAUUUAUAAAGCUUUAAACAACGUUCAAUGAUCUUAAAUAAUCGACACACGUUCCUGAUGUAUUGCUGGCGAAUAAGAUGUUUCUACAGAUACAAAUAUGCAAAUAUCGCGGUGUCUCCCUCACGACGCUCGCAUUUCUCUGCGGGAUCGCGCACGCAGUGUUGAAGCGGCUCGUUCUGACGAAGCGUAUCGAGAUGUAACGGCGCAGAAGUUAUCGCGAACGUGCGGAACCUGCAUGUCACGCUGGCAUGCGGUUCUCGGGCGUUCGAGAACCGCGUUGCUUAUAACCAGCCGCGACGAGGAUGACGCUUUACACGAGCGGCGCACUCGUAACGCUGCCACGCAAGCUGCACACGCCGUAUACGCCGUCGUCGUCGUCGUCGUAUGUAACGCGCGUACAUACGAAAACGGCGUGACGAAUGUGCAUACGCGGGAGUCCUGGUAUAUCUCGCGUGUGUCCACGCUUGUGUGAUUCUCCUGCACGCGACGCGACAUGUGUGCAUCGUGCAAAACCGAUGCAACGAUGUGUAUGCGCGCGCGCAUCUGCCAAGACGGCGUACCUACGUACACGCGCCUGCAAUGCAAAUCUCCGUGAUUACUUGUGCGGUUUACAAUCGCCGACGAGAUGUGCGUACGGCCGAAGAUCGCGUAGACGAUGUAACCGAUCGCCGUGAAGAAUAAUACGCACGGUUCCGUCCCUCAUUCCUCCCACAGCGAAUCUUAACGGCCGAGUCAAGUGUGAAGUUAUUAAUAGCCUCCGAAGUAUAACUGAUAAUAAUUUUUACGAAUUACCGAGGAAUAUAAAUCGUCCGGUAUAUAGCGUUCUCAAUGUCGCGUCGUAAUUUUACUUGCAUACGCAGCUUAAUUCUUUAUUUUUUUUUCUUUUUCAUUAUCUUACCACGAUCUUCGAUGAAAAUCGCCGAUCAUGAUUCGCUGUAACUAUUACGAACGAACCGGAUUGAUAUGACAUAUACCUGUGCAACGAAUAAACGUGCGCGGAACGAUAAAAUCAGGGAACGUCGCUGGACUUUCUCUAAUGAUAUGGACGGAGUAAUAAAUAAAUUAUUCAUUUAUAUCGGAGGCCUCAUAAUUGGUACGAUUGGCCGGCAAAGGAAAGAAUUAACGCAAUAACGAUAUUAGCGGAUACAGAUAAAUAAUAAUUGGCAUAAAUUGGAUAAAUAAUAAAUGUCAAAGUAAUGAUACUAUAGCUAACAAGCAUACUUUCUGUAUUCAGUAUUGCUACAAAGAAAAUAUUAUAUAGCUAUAAACAUGAUUUUGAAAUUAAUCAAAUAAGCAAUAACGAGACAAAAUUUCUCGAUCCUCUUCGUUCAUUUACCGUGUAAUAGUAUGAUUACAUUCAUGUAUAAUUUAAUAAUUAUAAGAGAAUACUCUUAGUUUCUUACGUAAAACAUAUGAGUAACAGAAAUGUCGAAUCUAUUCCAUGAAUAUAAUUAGUCACAAAACUAAUUGUCCAAAUACAGGAUACUAAUUCUCUAAAUUACGAUCAUCUAAAAAUCACUGAAACCAGUGAAAAUUGCACUGAUUUCAGUGAUAUACUUAUAACUUGUCAAUUAGUGGAAUAAAUACACUGAUCUUUCAAUGAUUAUACACUAAUUCUGAUGUAUGAAAGUCACUAAAAGUCAGUGAAUAUUUAUUAAUUAUCACAGUUAUAAGUAUACUACUGCAAAUCAGUGCAAAUACACUGAUUGCAAUUUAGAGAGAAGAGUGUCACAAAUACACAAAAUAUUGGAAUUUUUUAAGGAAAACUCGAUUUGAAAACGAGUGAACGAGUGAAUGAAAUGAAAACAUCUUGUUGUAUUUGAUUCGUAGCAUUAAAUAAACUCUACAUCCUGCGUAUCAAUUCCGUAAAUAUAGACAUUUUGUCUAUUUAAUAUUAUUCCGCUAUACAGUUUUAUCUUUUACACACACACACACACACACACACACACACACACACACACACACACACAUUUGCAGACUUGAGUAAAAAAAUUAAAAUAAAAGGUAAAAUAAUAUUGGCGCUCUGCUGCAAUUUUAUUUAGAUACAUCUUUCUAUCUGACUUUAUUAACCACACAAGCCAUUGAAUCUUUUCAGAUUGAAUAUAAAUAUGCUUCUGAUGGAAAUGUAUCACUGACAAGAGUUUUUAUUUCUAAUCGAGUAUUUCUUGAAAAUUAUGACAUUUGAUAAAUUUGUAGCAUAAAGUAAAGCGCCAAUAUCCCGUGUGCCUGGACAAUUAGUUUCGCGACUGUACGUAUUGGGAUGUAAUGCGCAAUAAUAAUUACAGGCGACAUCACAUUUGUAAACGUGACGGUCGGAGAUUUCGAAGAAAACAAGCUGGAUAAGCUACGAAUAUUUCGAUGUUUACUCAUACAUCGUAGCCCCUCCUUCGCGGCGCGGAAUCUUACGUGACGAAACAAUCGCGAUAAAUCACGAUCGCCGUAUCGAAGUUUAAUAUUUUCUCCUUAUCCCCCCCGCCCGGCGCCUGCCCACCUAAUCACGAAAUUAUAUCUGACAGCUCGUAUGAGUUAAUCCGGCCAUUGAGAUACACUCGCGCGCUUCUCAGAAAAACAGAUCAACAAGAAAACGCCGCAGUAGCGGGCCGCCGAUUUGCGUCAUGUGCGCGAUGCGCGACAAUCGCGCAGAGGGAAGGAGAGAGAAAGAGAGAGAGAGAGAGAGAGAGAGAGAGAGAGAGAGAGAGAGAGACUCCGCGAGAUCGCGCGACCCUGAACGUUUUGCCGACACGUGCUCUCACAUAUGUCAAACGACGAAAUUCGGAGCGACGACACGCUCAGCUGACGUACAGCAUUAUUACUUCUUCAUACGUGGACGUCACAGCAGAAUAUGUGUUCUUUUAUUCCUCUAAA